CAACUCCAUGACGUCAAACUCGAGGAGAUCAGUCAAAGUUUCAGAGAGUAGGCAUGAAUGCCCAGCUUUUUCAGAAAGCUUAAAGCAAUACAGAUCAAGAACGAGAAAAGAUAGACAGGCGAGAUCAAACUUGAUACAAUCAACACCGUUCAUGAUCAAUUUCACCACUAAUUUAGUCCAGCACGCCAAACUUAAGGAGAUCAACACGGCUUCAUGGCCAAUUUCACCACCAAAUCAGUUCAUCAUAUGCCAAACUUGAGGAAACUAAAAAGUUGCAGCGCCAAAAGCCAAAGAUAAAACCAUUUGCUGGGACUGAACUAAGGAUAGAAGAGUAAAAGUGCCAAUUUCUUGUGUGUAUUGCCUCUUGCUUUUUCUUCGUGCAUACUCUGUUUUUAACACCACGGAAUAUGUCAUGUCUUAUAUAGCUGUCCACAUAACAACGCCACAACCACAAACACAAACAGUUACUGUUACUGUUCUGACAAAGUAACACAGAAGAUCAACACCACGGAACAAGCAACACAUUCACCACAAAUCAAAUAAUCACGUCACACUUCAGGAAAUCAACAAGUUCUUGACCAUUUCUAAAAAAUAAGCUCAGGACCAGUUUCACUACCAAAUCAGUUCAUUACCUCAAACUAGAGGAAAUCAACAAAGUUUAAUCACGAAUUUUCACCAGCAAAGUAGUUCAUCAUACGCUUUUAUUCUUUUUGGAAAAUCGACAGAGUUAAGGAUCAACUUCUCCACCAAAAGUAGAGUUGAUAAUAUGAAGAAGUAAACACAUACUGUAGGAUAAAUACAAAACAUUCAGGAACCACCAAAACAAAGAAACGCCUAUCUCAUGUGUCUGUUCACGCAAGAACCCGUAAGCACAAACUGGAACAGAUGCUGUUCUUGCACGAAGUUAAACUCAAGGAUAACCACAAAGUAAUCACGGAAUAGCAAGCAAAAAUCAUCAACCCGUAACUGCCCGUUCACCAACUCCGUGACGUCAAACUCGAGGAAAUCAGUCAAAUUUUCAGAGAGGUUGCAUGAAUGCCCAGCUUUUUACAGAAAGCUUAAAGCAAUGCAGAUCAAGAACGAGGAAAGAUAAACAGGGGAAAAUAGCUGAAGACAAUCAAAGUAGUUCACCAGCUCCAUGUCGUCAAAAAUCGAGGAGAUCAAUCAAUUUUUUCAGAGAAUGCCCAGCUUUUUACAGAAAGUUUAAAGCAAUAAGUACAGAUGAAGAACGAGGAAAGAUAUAGAGGCAAGACUAGCUUAAGACAAUCAAAGCAGUUCAUCAGGCAAAACUUGAAAAGUUCUUGACCAAUUUCACCACCAAAUUAGUCCAGCACGCCAAAUUUAAGGAGAUCAACAUGUUUUCAUGACCAAUUUCAGCACCAAAUGAGUUCAUCAUAUGCCAAAUUUGAGGAAAUCAACAGAAUUUCAUGACCAAUUUCACCACCAAAUCAGUUCAUCAUAUGCCAAACUUGAGGAAACUAUCAGAGUUCGCGGCCAACUUCACCUACUCGAUGCAAGACGAUCAACGAAGCAAAACAAGGAAGAAAGACACCAAACAUGACCACAUAAACAGGGCAUCUCUCACACUCUCGCGCCGGCCAUCCUCCAUGAGCACUACCACAUCCACAAGGACUAC
rnacentral:lncRNA from 1 species